ACCCUCUGUGCAGAUAUGGUAAGUAAGUAAGUAAGUAAAAUCUUUAUUAGUUCACUUUGCAUAAGAAUUACAAAAUACCCUUAGGGUGUAGAACUCGUCAAUUAUGUGUAGUAAAAAAUAGUAAAAAAGUUAAAUAUUUAAAUAUAAGAAGUAAUAUUAAAUAUAAAACAAGAUGCACACCAAUACUAACAUUGCUGAUAAGUAAACACGAACAAAAUAACACAAUUUAUGCACUGAUACAUACAUACAUAGUAUAAUGACAAUAAAUCAAUAUAUAUUAUCUUCAAAGAAUUCCUUUAAAGUAUAAUAUGCUUUGUCUAAAAGAAUUUUAUUUAAUUUUACCCUAAUAUCUUUGCACGAUAAAUUUCUUAUAUCUAGAGGUAAUUUAUUAUAAAUUUUUAGUAAUGAAUAUGGGACAUUCCUUUGAAUAUAACUAUAUUUUACUAUAUUUUCAGUCACUAAUGUAUUUUUGUUUCUGGUAUCAUAUAAAUGAGAUAAGUUAAAAUCUGCGAAUAAGUUUAUAUUUUGCUUAACAAAUAUAAUUACUUCAUAUAUGUAUAAGCUCACUAAGGUAAGUAUUCUUUUUUCAAUAAAAAUUUGUUUACAGCUAUCUGUCUGUUUCAUGUUUAGAAUAUUUCUAAUGCAUCUCUUUUGUAGUACAAAUAAAUCGAUAGCAUCACUAGAGUUUCCCCAGAAGACAAUUCCAUAUUUUAUUUGAGAUUGAACAUAUGCAUGGUAUGCUAUAAAUGCUGUAGGAAUAUUAAUAUUUUGAGCUAUUACUUUUAGAGCAUAACAGUAUUUAGCGAUCUUUUGACCAACAUGGUCUACAUGGGUUUUCCAGUUCAAACGUGAAUCAAUCUUUACCCCCAAAAAGGAGGUGCUAUUCAUAGAUGUUAUGAUGUCAUUGCCAGUAGUAUUCCUUAUUUUUAUUACCGAUUAUUAUAGAUGUAUCAUCAGCAUACAUAAUAGUUUUUACAUCAACUGUUGAGGGCAGGUCAUUUGUGUAUAAAAUAUACAACAAAGGACCCAAUAUCGACCCCUGAGGUACACCCCUUUCUAUUAAUACUACGUUUGAUUUUAUGAGAGCGCCAGUAUCGUCCGUUUCUACAACACACUGCUUCCUAUUCAGCAGGUGCCUCAAGUUCCAGUAACUGGCCCUCGUGAUCAGAUAAAGCUGUUGUAAUUACUUUACCUAUAUGAGCAUUAUCAAAG